rnacentral:snRNA from 1 species
AUACUUACCUGACGUGAGAGGCACCUUGAUCAACUAGGAGGUCCUCUCAGGAUGAGGCCCUUUCAUUGCACUUCGACUGGGUUGACUCCUGCAAUUACCCCUAAUGUGGGUAACUCGAGCGUAUAAUUUCUGGUAGUGGGGACCUGCGUUCGCGCUCGUCCCCU